rnacentral:rRNA from 1 species
UAGGGAAUCUUCGGCAAUGGGGGCAACCCUGACCGAGCAACGCCGCGUGAGUGAAGAAGGUUUUCGGAUCGUAAAGCUCUGUUGUUAGAGAAGAAUGAUGGUGGGAGUGGAAAAUCCACCAAGUGACGGUAACUAACCAGAAAGGGACGGCUAACUACGUGCCAGCAGCCGCGGUAAUACGUAGGUCCCGAGCGUUGUCCGGAUUUAUUGGGCGUAAAGCGAGCGCAGGCGGUUUUUUAAGUCUGAAGUUAAAGGCAUUGGCUCAACCAAUGUACGCUUUGGAAACUGGAGAACUUGAGUGCAGAAGGGGAGAGUGGAAUUCCAUGUGUAGCGGUGAAAUGCGUAGAUAUAUGGAGGAACACCGGUGGCGAAAGCGGCUCUCUGGUCUGUAACUGACGCUGAGGCUCGAAAGCGUGGGGAGCAAACAGGAUUAGAUACCCUGGUAGUCCACGCCGUAAACGAUGAGUGCUAGGUGUUAGGCCCUUUCCGGGGCUUAGUGCCGGAGCUAACGCAUUAAGCACUCCGCCUGGGGAGUACGACCGCAAGGUUG